GCACAAAGCAGGUCAGACAGCCAAGUCUGGACAACAUCUAUUUAUCUGGGUUUUCCUGUGUAAUAAUAAAUUGUCUCCAUCUAAGGCAGGGGGAGCAGCAAAGACUCCACAGUGUGUAGCAGGAAAGUCAGUGACAACAACUGUUACAUUAAUUAUGUUAGCUUACAGAAAAAAGAGGAGGAUUUUGGUGGAGGUGGGUUACAAAGCGGCUUGCAGUUGGUGAAACAAUUGCAGGAAGCCUUAAAAGGUGCCUCCUGGGAGCAUAUAUAUGCACAUACUGGUUUUUUCUACCUAACCUCAUUUUUACUCUUCUUUCUUUCUCUUUUUAAAUCACUGUUGUGUUUACAGAUUUCUGCUCAUAGUAUACGGCCCUUACCAGGCAUCUGUGGCACUGUCUGUUUUUCAUUUGUACUACUUUUCAGUCUUUAUCAUGCUCCUGUAACACAACAAUUUAUCUUUUGGGAUCAAUAAGCUCUUCACAGUGAGCCGUUUCCUGAGACAAGGCUUUGAAGUGGAUGAGGGAGGUGAGACACCGUGCGCCCAGCUGCCCAGCCGCUGUGGUUAAGGGGUCUUUAUCACGCAGACAAGGGGGACAGCACUCAGCUCUUGCCCUUCUAUCUUUCACCGCGGCAGAAGAGUGAUUUUGACAACCAGCGCACCCCAGCUGCGCAGGGGCCAGGCCUGCGAAACCACAGGCGGAUAAUGAAUGCCACACCAUCGUGACAACUUGCACUUUUAUGGAAAGGGGAGGAAGGACACUUGUGCUCACAGCGUAUGAUGGGACGUCCCCCAUAAACCAGACAAUCAAAGCGAGGGCAGAUAAGCAUCUGUGGAAUCUGUGACGGGAACCUCCGCUGAUUUAUGGGCACUACUGGAAAAGGUUUCAGACGCAUUGCCUCACCCAAAGCCUGAGGCUAAGCUGCAAUGAGUUGGAAUGAGACCAGAUGAGAGGGAGGAAUGAACUACUGGGACAACUCCUCCACUUCAAAAAGCCUCUCCACUUUUACUUCAGGGGAUUUUGGCUGAGGUUAUGCCACAUGACCUGUUUCUAAUAACAUUUCUUUCUUUUUGCCUUUCUGUAAAACAUGCCACACUAGAGUGGAGUCAUUAAUCUUGUUAAAUCUUUCAUACUAAUAUCUGUUGAGCUGCUUUGACUGCUAAAGUCGCUUGAAAUGA
ensembl:lncRNA